rnacentral:rRNA from 1 species
GACGAAGGGGGCUAGCGUUGUUCGGAAUUACUGGGCGUAAAGCGCACGUAGGCGGCUUUUUAAGUCAGGGGUGAAAUCCCGGGGCUCAACCCCGGAACUGCCUUUGAAACUGGAGAGCUAGAAUCUUGGAGAGGCGAGUGGAAUUCCGAGUGUAGAGGUGAAAUUCGUAGAUAUUCGGAAGAACACCAGUGGCGAAGGCGACUCGCUGGACAAGUAUUGACGCUGAGGUGCGAAAGCGUGGGGAGCAAACAGG